GAAACAAAACCGAAGGUAGGCGGUCGUCGCUGGUCUCCCUCACAGGAGACAUCGUGCGCGCCCCCUAUCUUCUCUUUCAUUCAUCUACCCCUAUCUGUGCACCCUAUGUGGGCCGACAUAGUUCGGUUCACGCUUUAAACACACCCUUCUUAAACAUUCAAUGAACGAAUUCAUUCGAGCUCAGUCUCGAUAUAAUCUAAUACAACUUUCAACAACGGAUCUCUUGGCUCU
rnacentral:misc_RNA from 1 species